UACAGAGGGGGGCAAGCGUUGUUCGGAAUUACUGGGCGUAAAGGGCGCGUAGGCGGCCCGCUAAGUCGAACGUGAAAUCCCCGGGCUCAACCCGGGAACUGCGUCCGAUACUGCCGUGCUUGAGGACUGGAGAGGAGACUGGAAUUUACGGUGUAGCGGUGAAAUGCGUAGAUAUCGUAAGGAAGACCAGUGGCGAAGGCGGGUCUCUGGACAGUUCCUGACGCUGAGGCACGAAGGUCAGGGGAGCAAACGGG
rnacentral:rRNA from 1 species